GGGACACGAAACCUAGGUUGUCUGCAUGGCUCGUCGUCAGCUCUGUUGCCGUGACGGUGUCUGGGUUAAGUCCCGCAACGAGCGCAACCCCUGNUGUUUAGUUGCCAGCAUGUUAAGAUGGGGACUCUAAACAGACUGCCUAUGCAAAUAGAGAGGAAGGACGGGGACGACGUCAAGUCAUCAUGGCCCUUUACGUCCGGGGCCUACACACGUGCUACAAUGGGCAGUACAGAGGGCAGCGGCCUGGCAACAGGAAGCCAAUCUCAAAAAGCUGUUCACAGUUCGGAUCGGGGUCUGCAACUCGACCCCGUGAAGUUGGAUUCGCUAGUAAUCGCAGAUCAGCAAUGCUGGCGGUGAAUACGUUCCCGGGCCUUGUACACACCGCCCGUCAAGCCAUGGAAGCUGGGGGUGCCUGAAGUGCGUAACCGCAAGGAGCGUCCUAGGCNCUAAAACCGGUAACUGGGGCUAAGUCGUAACAAGGUAACCGU
rnacentral:rRNA from 1 species